rnacentral:rRNA from 1 species
GGGAGGCAGCAGUGGGGAAUAUUGCACAAUGGGCGCAAGCCUGAUGCAGCCAUGCCGCGUGUGUGAAGAAGGCCUUCGGGUUGUAAAGCACUUUCAGCGGGGAGGAAGGCGAUAAGGUUAAUAACCUUGUCGAUUGACGUUACCCGCAGAAGAAGCACCGGCUAACUCCGUGCCAGCAGCCGCGGUAAUACGGAGGGUGCAAGCGUUAAUCGGAAUUACUGGGCG